rnacentral:rRNA from 1 species
UACAGAGGUCCAAAGCGUUGUUCGGAUUCACUGGGCGUAAAGGGUGCGUAGGCGGUCGGGUAAGUCUGAUGUGAAAUCUCACAGCUUAACUGUGAAACUGCAUUGGAUACUAUUCGGCUUGAGAGUUGGAGGGGGGACUGGAAUUCUUGGUGUAGCAGUGAAAUGCGUAGAUAUCGGAAGGAACGCCGGUGGCGAAAGCGGCGUGCUGGACCUCUUCUGACGCUGAGGCGCGAAAGCCAGGGGAGCAAACGGG